rnacentral:lncRNA from 1 species
CGAACCCUUUAAGGGACUGGCCAUUCUGUGAAAGGGCUUGCAGUGGAGAGUAAAGGAGGAGAAGCAGAUGAACACCAGAGAGAGACCAAGCCUCAGGGAAGGGACCCAUUGGCACAGCUGGGUCGGGUGACCAACAUGGGAUCCACCAGCUAUGACCAGAGUGGGGGAAAGUAGCCACGGGAGAAAGGAAGUUUCUAGAACUGCAGACAGUCCCACCUAUUCAUGGAAGCAAAUGACAGCCAGGCAAAUGCGGUACCAUGUUGAGACGCCUGGGGGUGCAAAUGAAAGAGCUUUUCUGAAGACUUUGUUGCCUUCAAAGGCAGGGAGAACCAUCUCAACCAUCACAGAUGAUUUAAGCGCAAAUAAAACUCACUAUUGAG